UAUGGAACUACGUCACCGACUUAUAAAGACUUUGAUUUCUAUCUUCAAACGAAUGGAUUGAUUUCAGUUACAAAAUAUCGGCCAUACAACUUCUUGUUCUCAUUUAUAGAAGGAAUUGUACAGUUGCCAAUAACCCAAACACCAGUCAUUAUCAUAGCCAAAUGUCAAGCGGGGGAAAAUACAAAACAAGGAGGCGUUCCAAAUAUGCAAAUUCGCAAAGUUUUAUCUCAAGUAAUGGACAGACAGGCGAGUUGUUGGAAAUCAAGCAAGAACCUUCAGCUGGCUGUGGGGAGCAAAUCCGAGAUUACUUUAAAGUCAUCCUUCUUCGGUACAUUCUCAGCGAGCAUAAAGUUGAUACAA